AUAUGAGCUUAUUACACAACAUUACACGAGCAUAAGAAAGAGAUGACGACCCGUUCACAUCUGUGGUACGACCGUCACAGUGACAUCACGAGGGGGAGGGGCUUCCCGUGCACGUGAGGAACGCUCGAGCGUCGCUCAGAGCCACAUGCAGAAGCUUCGUUUCUGUCCAACAGGAUGAUUUUGGUGCCGGUGCUGCUCCUCUGCGUCUUCACUGAUGUGAGCUGUGAGGAGCUCAGUCCAGUCCACAGUGAGCACAAUCAGCUCUCUGUGGAAGGCAACACCGUGUUUCUGUCCUACAACUACCCCAAACUCGUAACUACAGAUUAUUUCUUCUGGUAUCGGCAACAUCCAGGAAAACCACCUCAGUUUCUCAUCUCACACUCAGCAUCAGGAUCUGUGCUAAAUGAUCCAGUCCCGGGACUGAAGGUCCAAGUGGAGGAAAAACUGAUCCAGAUGAACAUCUCCUCUGCCACAGUGGCAGAUUCUGCUGUUUACUUCUGCGCCGUGAAGCCCACAGUGGCAGGAAACCCCGAGUCCCUGUACAAAAACCCAUCAUCUCAGCAAAGAGCGCUCACACUUCAGCUCCUCGGUUCUCUUAGACAACACCGCCAUCAAGUGGAUUCUUCCAGCUUUGCAUGAUGCUGGAAGAAAACUCUGAUGAUGCUUAAAUACAAUCUGCAAGUUUAGACAUUUGGUCCAGAAGUUUAUUUGAUUAAUUUACAGAGAACUGAUGACUCACAGAGUUUGUAAAGACGUUGGUAUCAGAGAAUGAAAUGAAAAUCACAAACUUUAGUACAUUUCCAUCCGUCUUUGGAAGCAUCAGCGUCGCCAACAGGGGAAAAUAUCUGAUUAUUGCUUGAUGGCUCAGACAGAACAGCAGAGAUGUUUCGUGCUCAUCUGCUCAUAAGAGGAAAGCAGCCAGUUUAUUUAUGUCCUGUUUCCAUCAUGAGGAGGAUGUAAGCUGUGUGGAAAAGCACCGUGAUGAAAGUUUUGUUGUGAUUUGGUG